rnacentral:rRNA from 1 species
CCCCGGUAGUCCCUGGCCGUAAACGAUGGGUACUAGGUGUAGGAGGUAUCGACCCCUUCUGUGCUGGAGUUAACGCAAUAAGUACCCCGCCUGGGGAGUACGACCGCAAGGUUGAAACUCAAAGGAAUUGACGGGGGCCCGCACAAGCGGUGGGAGUAUGUGGUUUAAUUCGACGCAAACGCGAAGAACCUUACCAGGUCUUGACAUUGAUGGACAGAACUAGAGAUAGUUCCUCCUCUUCGGAAGCCAGAAAACAAGUGGUGCACGGUUGUCGUCAGCUCGUGUCGUGAGAUGUUGGGCUAAGUCCAGCAACGAGCGCAACCCCUAUCUUAUGUUGCCAGCACGUAAUGGUGGGAACUCAUGAGAGACUGCCGCAGACAAUGCGGAGGAAGGCGGGGAUGGCGUCAAAUCUUCAUGCCCCUUAUGACCUGGGCUACACACGUACUACAAUGGGAGUUAAUAGACGGAAGCGAGAUCGCGAGAUGGAGCAAACCCGAGAAACACUCUCUCAGUUCGGAUCGUAGGCUGCAACUCGCCUACGUGAAGUCGGAAUCGCUAGUAAUCGCAGGUCAGCAUACUGCGGUGAAUACGUUCCCGGGCCUUGUGCACACCGCCCGUCACACCACGAAAGUCGGAAGUGCCCAAAGCCGGUGGGGUAACCUUCGGGAGCCAGCCGUCUAAGGUAAAGUCGAUGGUUAAAGGGAAGUCGUAACAAGGUAGCCG